UUGAUUUCUGUCUCCACUUGGUCUAAAAGGUCCAUGCUCAGAAAAUGCCCCCAAUCCAACAGAAGAACAACCAGGCCUUGAAACAAAAUUAGACUCAGAAAAUAUUAUGAAUACAAUUGCUCAUGAUUUGACACUUAAUUUUCAAAAUUUUGGCAUCCAGAUGAUCAAGCGAACAGGGAAAGGGAAGCUCCAUCCUACCUCCAUUCAACCAAAGAACCACAGGCUUUGAAGCAGCAGACAAGUACCAUGGUGUUACAAAGUUUGAUCCAGCUAUUGGAAAGCAAUUCAAAGCUCCUGUUCCUACUCAAUCUUACACCACAUAUUUUGCAGAGGCUUUGAUUGCUGAAGCAGAGGUUGACAAAGACGUUGUUGCCAUACAUGCUAGAUUGGGACGAGGGGCAGGCCUGAAUCUAUUCCUUCGCCGCUUCCCAACACGAUAUUUUGAUGUUGGCAUUGCAGAACAGCAUGUUGUCACUUUUGCUGCAGGCGUCGCCUGUGAAGGCCUUAAACCAUUCUGUGCCGUCUACUCAUCUUUCUUGCAGAGGGCUUAUGAUCAGGUGAUACAUGAUGUGGAUUUGCAGAAACUGCCAGUGAGGUUUGCAUUGGACAGAGUUUGCUUGGUUGGAGCAGAUAGGCCUGCACAUUCCGGGUCAUUCGAUGUCACUUACAUGGCAUGCCUUCCAAACAUGGUUGUGAUGACUCCAUCAGAUGAGGCAUAGCUCUUCCAUAUGGUUGCAACUGCCGUUGCCAUAGAUGAUCGACCCAGUUGCU